AAGGGAAGAACGCCUUCAAGAACAAAAACUCAAAAUUCAGCAAAUUAGAAAGGAAAUUGAUGGUUAAUCUCUUGCAUGAGCCCUAAUACAUGAUCAUCUAAGCUCGUUUAACAAGUGGUGUAAAGGAAGAAGGUUCAAGCAACAAGAAACCUUAAGGCUUGCAAAAUCGAGGUAAAUCUCAUCCUUAAUAACGGCGAGCCUGGAUCGAACACACUACAACUCAUGCCCAAAAAUGCGCUUCCGUAUAAGUUUUUGUGUCAAAGGGUCAAAACUCUCUUUUGGUUUAUGAGAUGUUUCUUUGUAUCUAAGGUCUUUUGUAAGUAGAUUAGUUGAUGGUCAUAGUUAGUUAAAUUUGAGCAAAUGUAGUUUAAAAAGUUAUGAUAGUCGUAAUGUCAUAGUUAGCCGUAAGAGGAGCAACUGAACUGUUACUUAAUUUAAGGAUGACUGUCAUUUUAA